GAUGAACGCUGGCGGCGUGCCUAAUACAUGCAAGUCGAGCGAACGGACGAGAAGCUUGCUUCUCUGAUGUUAGCGGCGGACGGGUGAGUAACACGUGGAUAACCUACCUAUAAGACUUGGAUAACUUCGGGAAACCGGAGCUAAUACCGGGUAAUAUUUUGAACCUCAUGGUUCAAAAGUGAAAGACGGUCUUUCUUUCACUUAUAGAUGGAUCCGCGCUGCAUUAGCUAGUUGGUAAGGUAACGGCUUACCAAGGCAACGAUGCAUAGCCGACCUGAGAGGGUGAUCGGCCACACUGGAACUGAGACAAGGUCCAGACUACUACGGGAGGAAGCAGUAGGGAAGCUUACGCAAUGGGCGAAAGCAUGACGGAGCAACGACGCGGGAGUGAUGAAGGUCUUCGGAGCGUAAAACUCUGUUAUUAGGGAAGAACAUAUGUGUAAGUAACUGUGCACAGCUUGACGGUACCUAAUCAGAAAGCCACGGCUAACUACGUG
rnacentral:rRNA from 1 species